GCCUACGGCCAUACCCAGUUGAAAGCACCGGAACUCGUCUGAUCUCCGAAGUUAAGCAACUGUGGGCCUGGUUUGUUUCCCAUAUGGGUGACCGCCUCGAGAUUUCUGCAUUAGAAA
rnacentral:rRNA from 1 species